rnacentral:tRNA from 1 species
CAGAGUGUAGCUAAGUUAGUAAAGCAUUUCCCUUACACCGAAAAGCCCUCCGUGCAAAUCGGAGCAUCCUGA